GACGAACGCUGGCGGCGUGCUUAACACAUGCAAGUCGAACGGAAAGGCCCUGCUUUUGUGGGGUGCUCGAGUGGCGAACGGGUGAGUAACACGUGAGUAACCUGCCCUUGACUUUGGGAUAACUUCAGGAAACUGGGGCUAAUACCGGAUAGGAGCUCCUGCUGCAUGGUGGGGGUUGGAAAGUUUCGGCGGUUGGGGAUGGACUCGCGGCUUAUCAGCUUGUUGGUGGGGUAGGGGCUUACCAAGGCUUUGACGGGUAGCCGGCCUGGGAGGGUGACCGGCCACAUUGGGACUGAGGUACGGCCCAGACUCCUACGGGAGGCAGCAGUGGGGAAUAUUGCACAAUGGGCGGACGCCUGAUGCAGCAACGCCGCGUGCGGGAUGACGGCCUUCGGGUUGUAAACCGCUUUCGCCUGUGACGAAGCGUGAGUGACGGUAAUGGGUAAAGAAGCACCGGCUAACUACGUG
rnacentral:rRNA from 1 species